rnacentral:rRNA from 1 species
UACGUAGGGGGCAAGCGUUGUCCGGAAUCAUUGGGCGUAAAGCGCGUGUAGGCGGCUUGGUAAGUCCGUUCUGAAAGCCCGGGGCUCAACCCCGGGAGGCGGAUGGAUACUGUCAAGCUUGAGUCCGGAAGAGGCGAGUGGAAUUCCCGGUGUAGCGGUGAAAUGCGCAGAUAUCGGGAGGAAUACCAAUGGCGAAGGCAGCUCGCUGGGACGCUACUGACGCUGAGACGCGAAAGCG